UACGGAGGGAGCUAGCGUUGUUCGGAAUUACUGGGCGUAAAGCGCACGUAGGCGGCUUUGUAAGUUAGAGGUAAAAGCCCGGGGCUCAACCCCGGAAUUGCCUUUAAGACUGCAUCGCUUGAAUCCGGGAGAGGUGAGUGGAAUUCCGAGUGUAGAGGUGAAAUUCGUAGAUAUUCGGAAGAACACCAGUGGCGAAGGCGGCUCACUGGACCGGUAUUGACGCUGAGGUGCGAAAGCGUGGGGAGCAAACAGG
rnacentral:rRNA from 1 species